rnacentral:rRNA from 1 species
AGAGUUUGAUCCUGGCUCAGAUUAAACGCUGGCGGCAUGCCUUACACAUGCAAGUCGAACGGCAGCACGGGGCAACCUGGUGGCGAGUGGCGAACGGGUGAGUAAAGCAUCGGAACGUGCCCUGGAGUGGGGGAUAACGUAGCGAAAGUUACGCUAAUACCGCAUAUUCUGUGAGCAGGAAAGCAGGGGAUCGCAAGACCUUGCGCUCUGGGAGCGGCCGAUGUCGGAUUAGCUAGUUGGUGGGGUAAAGGCCUACCAAGGCGACGAUCCGUAGCGGGUCUGAGAGGAUGAUCCGCCACACUGGGACUGAGACACGGCCCAGACUCCUACGGGAGGCAGCAGUGGGGAAUUUUGGACAAUGGGCGGAAGCCUGAUCCAGCCAUGCCGCGUGAGUGAAGAAGGCCUUCGGGUUGUAAAGCUCUUUCGGCGGGGAAGAAAUUGCACGGGUUAAUACCCUGUGUGGAUGACGGUACCGGCAUAAGAAGCACCGGCUAACUACGUG